UGGGGAAUAUUGGACAAUGGGCGAAAGCCUGAUCCAGCCAUGCCGCGUGUGUGAAGAAGGUCUUCGGAUUGUAAAGCACUUUAAGUUGGGAGGAAGGGCAGUAAGCGAAUACCUUGCUGUUUUGACGUUACCGACAGAAUAAGCACCGGCUAACUCUGUGCCAGCAGCCGCGGUAAUACAGAGGGUGCAAGCGUUAAUCGGAAUUACUGGGCGUAAAGCGCGCGUAGGUGGUUCGUUAAGUUGAAUGUGAAAGCCCCGGGCUCAACCUGGGAAGUGCAUCCAAAACUGGCGAGCUAGAGUAGGGCAGAGGGUGGUGGAAUUUCCUUUGUAGCGGUGAAAUGCGUAGAUAUAGGAAGGAACACCAGUGGCGAAGGCGACCACCUGGGCUCAUACUGACACUGAGGUGCGAAAGCGUGGGGAGCAAACAGG
rnacentral:rRNA from 1 species